rnacentral:rRNA from 1 species
GACGAACGCUGGCGGCGUGCUUAACACAUGCAAGUCGAACGGAAAGGCCCUGCUGUUGUGGGGUGCUCGAGUGGCGAACGGGUGAGUAACACGUGAGUAACCUGCCCUUGACUUUGGGAUAACGUCAGGAAACUGGGGCUAAUACCGGAUAGGAGCUCCUGCUGCAUGGUGGGGGUUGGAAAGUUUCGGCGGGUGGGGAUGGACUCGCGGCUUAUCAGCUUGUUGGUGGGGUAGCGGCUUACCAAGGCUUUGACGGGUAGCCGGCCUGAGAGGGUGACCGGCCACAGUGGGACUGAGAUACGGCCCAGACUCCUACGGGAGGCAGCAGUGGGGAAUAUUGCACGAUGGGCGGAAGCCGGAUGCAGCAACGCCGCGUGCGGGAUGACGGCCUUCGGGUUGUAACCCGCUUUCGCCUGUGACGAAGCGUGAGUGACGGUAAUGGGUAAAGAAGCACCGGCUAACUACGUG